UUUGCCUGAGAAGGCUUUACUUGGUGGGAUCCAUGUACUGGCCACUUCUAGAGUUCUUGGGCUGUUGAUAAGUUCAUCCUGAGGCUCUUGGUGCUCAGCCCAGAAGUCUACAAUUGCUUGACCUUUUAUUGCUCUUUGAGGCACAUAUUGAAAAAUGAACUCUAAUAGUGCUACAAUCCAUUUUCCAAUCCUUCUAGUUAGCAUUGGUUUUGAUAGCAUGUACCUGAUUACAUAUGUCUUAGCAAUAAUAUGAAUGUGGCUAGGCAACAUGUUAUG
rnacentral:lncRNA from 1 species